rnacentral:rRNA from 1 species
GAUGAACGCUAGCGGGAGGCCUAACACAUGCAAGCCGAGCGGUAUUUGUUCUUCGGAACAGAGAGAGCGGCGCACGGGUGCGGAACACGUGUGCAACCUGCCUUUAUCUGGGGGAUAGCCUUUCGAAAGGAAGAUUAAUACCCCAUAAUAUAUUGAGUGGCAUCACUUGAUAUUGAAAACUCCGGUGGAUAGAGAUGGGCACGCGCAAGAUUAGAUAGUUGGUGAGGUAACGGCUCACCAAGUCAAUGAUCUUUAGGGGGCCUGAGAGGGUGAUCCCCCACACUGGGACUGAGACACUGACCAGACUCCUACGGGAGGCAGCAGUGAGGAAUAUUGGACAAUGGGUUAGCGCCUGAUCCAGCCAUCCCGCGUGAAGGACGACGGCCCUAUGGGUUGUAAACUUCUUUUGGAUAGGGAUAAACCUACUCUCGUGAGAGUAGCUGAAGGUACUAUACGAAUAAGCACCGGCUAACUCCGUG